AUGAAAAACACCACUAAAUGAGAUUAUUAUAUGAAUGAAGAAAAAAAAACAAAAAAAGGAAAGACAGAAAGAUUUGAUAAUACAUGCAUGGCACACCUGGGUGUAUGUAAAAACAUGGCAACUUCUAAUCACAAUCAACCCUAUUCGAUAUCCUUCGUCUGGCCUCAACUAGUUUAUUGUUUUUGCCAACGAUUUAAAUAUUCAUCCAAG
rnacentral:lncRNA from 1 species